rnacentral:lncRNA from 1 species
UGCAGUUGUGUGGACAAGACAAUACUUAGUUUAUGUGACCACACAAGACUUGCCAAUUAUAUUCCUUUCCUAGUACGUAGCAUCGUUGAGUUCUGGGAGAUGCUUAUGCCAUGUGGCUUCCUUGCAUUAGCUGUAUGCCAAUACAUAAACGUUACUUACACCCAAGUUGAAGUUAGAAAUGUAGGCAUGUUUAUCGUUUCCUCUCUGACUGACGAGCUUCAAUCAUUCAUAUCAACUGCCGUAUGUUACUUACAUAAUCACAUAAGGAGACCAAGUUAAUUCUUUGUAUAAUGAUUUAGUUGUGUUACCAGAGGCUAGUCUAACAUGUCAUGAUGCUGAAGAAUUAAAUAUAUUGUGUAGGAAGCUGCUGGCACAAGGCUUGGCAUUAGCUGGUAUCUGAGUUGGAAUGCAUAUGGGGAAUGACUUGGUUCGUAUUCAAUGAACUUCCCCGGAUGGACUGCAUAGUUGGUUUCCGGUGAAAUGCCUAUUGGAUGAAGUCAUGUGCAAGAUCAAUCAUUCUGGGACUGCAGAUCGUAAUCCCAUGGCUUGCUGGUCUAUCCCACGGUGGAUCGUGUACAGCUGUGUUCCGGUAGAAUACCUGAGCUACAUGCUACAACGCUUGGCAUUUGUCUGGCUUUACAAUUAUCUCAAGUCAUUCUGUCCAUCAUGGUUCAUCAUGCUGCUGUUGUGCUAUAACGCUACUUGGAUUCAUCAGGAUACAUAAAUGAACUCUGUGCUUACAUU